AUACGGGGGGUGCAAGCGUUAAUCGGAAUUACUGGGCGUAAAGCGCGCGUAGGCGGUUUGCUCAGUCGGAUGUGAAAGCCCAGGGCUCAACCUUUGAACUGCAUACGAUACUGGCAAACUAGAGUGUGAGAGAGGAUAGUGGAAUUUCCGGUGUAGCGGUGAAAUGCGUAGAUAUCGGAAGGAACAUCAGUGGCGAAGGCGACUGUCUGGCUCAACACUGACGCUGAGGUGCGAAAGCGUGGGUAGCAAACAGGAUUAGAUACCCUAGUAGUCC
rnacentral:rRNA from 1 species